GUCAAGUGGGAACACAUAUGCUCCCUACUGAGGAAAAUAAACUGCAGUGUAUUUUUAGCAUCCGUUGGAAGGACUCGCAGCUGAAGCUACGCAGGAUCCAGGCCAUUCACUGAAGGCCCAAGGAUUGGCCGCAAUGUCACCAAGAAUUCCAGAAUGUGCCCUGGGGGUCUAUCUCUCUAAUCCCACCUCCUUGUUCCACUGAGCAGAUGUGGGAAAAGUAGGCAAAUGCAUGAAGGCAUCAAGGUCAACGGCAGAUCCCAUCCUGGAUACAUUACAAUCAUCAUGUCUUCUAAGGGUCUGCGGGACUGUGACAGGUUCUCAGACUUUCAUUUCAAUGAACUUAACAGUGCUGAGGAGCACUCAUCAGCACAAGUUCCAUCUUGCUUUAGCCUCCACAGCCAUCAGCCAUCACCAGCAGAAGUAAGGGGAGAAACCCCAGUAAGUACAUUGUAAACUCCGAGCCUAAAUUCUGCAGUCAGACUCACAGAGCUGAUUAAGCACUUUAAAGAUCACAACAAGGACAAUUAGUCAGAUGGUUGGUGAUGCUCCCAGAACAUUCUGCGUCCCUUCAAGGAACCUCUGUUCAAAUGCAGUGCCUCCAUGCAUGGCUGACACCAUGGACCUAUUUACAUUGUGACCAUGUACUAUACUGAUGGAAUCAUAUU